rnacentral:rRNA from 1 species
GACGAACGCUGGCGGCGUGCCUAAUGCAUGCAAGUCGCACGGGUCUCCUUCGGGAGGUCAGUGGCGAACGGCUGAGGAACACGUGGGGACCUAUCCGUCAGUGGGGGACAACACCGCGAAAGCGGUGCUAAUCCCGCAUACGCUCUGCGGAGGAAAGCGUGGCAACACGCGCUGAAGACUGGCCCUGCGGCCCAUCAGGUAGUUGGCGGGGUAACGGCCCACCAAGCCCGUGACGGGUGGCUGGUCUGUGAGGACGACCCCCCAGGCUGGGACUGAGAUACGGCCCAGACUCCUACGGGAGGGGGCAGAAAGGAAUUUUCGGCAAUGGGCGCAAGCCUGACAGCGCAACGCGGCGUGCGGGAUGACUGCCUUCGGGUUGUAAACCGCUUUUGGGGGGGAAGAAACAGACGGUACCCCCCGAAUCAGCCCCGGCUAACUCUGUG